CGGCGAGUGAAGCGGCAAUAGCUCAAAUUUGAAAUCUGGCGUCUUCGACGUCCGAGUUGUAAUUUGUAGAGGAUGCUUCUGAGUAACCACCGACCUAAGUUCCUUGGAACAGGACGUCAUAGAGGGUGAGAAUCCCGUAUGCGGUCGGAAAGGUGCUCUAUACGUAGCUCCUUCGACGAGUCGAGUUGUUUGGGAAUGCAGCUCUAAAUGGGAGGUAAAUUUCUUCUAAAGCUAAAUAUUGGCCAGAGACCGAUAGCGCACAAGUAGAGUGAUCGAAAGAUGAAAAGCACUUUGGAAAGAGAGUUAAAAAGCACGUGAAAUUGUUAAAAGGGAAGGGAUUGCAACCAGACUUGCUCGCGGUGUUCCGCCGGUCUUCUGACCGGUCUACUCGCCGCGUUGCAGGCCAGCAUCGUCUGGUGCCGCUGGAUAAGACUUGAGGAAUGUAGCUCCCUCGGGAGUGUUAUAGCCUCUUGUGAUGCACCGAGCGCCGGGCGAGGUCCGCGCUUCGGCUAGGAUGCUGGCGUAAUGGUCGUAAUCCGCCCGUCUUGAAACACGGACCAAGGAGUCUAACAUCUAUGCGAGUGUUCGGGUGUCAAACCCCUACGCGUAAUGAAAGUGAACGGAGGUGAGAACCGCAAGGUGCAUCAUCGACCGAUCCUGAUGUCUUCGGAUGGAUUUGAGUAAGAGCAUA
rnacentral:rRNA from 1 species